ensembl:lncRNA
CACAAUAACAAUCCUAAAACAAAAGCUAUUUAAAAAAAUAAAAUAUUUUUCUCUGUUUGAGGACAACUCAGAACUCGGUGGCUUUGAAGGUAGGCUCUGGAACAUCUGAGGAGAAAGCAAGAACACCCACGUUGCAGGAGGACUCAGUUCUUGGCUAGGACUCACAUAGCCCCAGGUCUGGUUCUCACCUGUGUCCUCCAGCCUAAGUAUACUUCGUCUCAACAGUUUCUCCCUAGAGGAAGUGAGGAACAGAUGGGGAGCACGGCUUCUGUGUGCAUUAGGCCCCACCCAUCAACUAUCCUCCACCACUUCCUCCCCAGACCGGGACUUACCCUUUCCUCCUCCUCCUCGCCAUGGUAGUUCUUGUCGCCAUGUAAACAUACACUCUGGGCAGUAGGACCGGGACUAACACCAUCACAAGCACCCCUGGCAGGAUGGCCACUAAGCUGGAUGCUUCUGAAAGGAAACAGCAAAGGCACCGGGGCAUUGGCUUGGAAGGUGCAGACUUCCCGAGACCAAGCGGGAACCCCAGCCAACGGAGGAUAGGGGGAGAGGGAGGCUAUCCCUUCCCUAGCUUUGGAGACCAGAAGGACCCAGGCUCACCCCGGAAGCAGUCUCGAGUAAAGUUGGCCACCAUGCAGGACUCUCCACCUCUGCAGCCAUAGGGCUCGCACAGCAGGAUCCCUCGGCUUGCACAGGAGCAGCGCUGGGAGCAGUUGUUAGUUACGAAGCUGUCACCCAGCUGGAAGAGAGGAGGUGAAGACAGGAGACGGUCUAGACUCAUCCGGCAUCCCAUUCUCUGCACCUGGGCUCCCAGGCUUCUCUGCCAUCCGGACCUUGUAAUAGAUGCCAUUGGUGGUGCAGCCACAGUGCGUCACUGGGAGGCUCUGUGUGUCACUGUAGAUGUAGCCUGGGAGACUGGCACAGCCUUCCACGCAGGGGCCUUCACAGACCUUGGGGGUCACAAAUUUGGCACAGGUUGCUGGGCAGGGUGUCAUGCAGCUCUGAUACACAGUAUUGGCAGGACACGUCAUGGCUGAGGGGACAGAAACAUAGUUAGGAGCUGGCUGGCUUGGGUCCAAACAGAUAAAGGGACUAGUGGGCAAGAAAAAGGGGGGGGGGAUAAGGUCACCCAACAGAGAUCCCUGCCGACAGGGAGUCCAGAACAAGCGGGCCAGGUCUGUUUGAAGAGUUUGUCUGGGGCACAAGACAAGAUGGAAACAGAUGAAGACUGGAAGGGUGGGCACCAAGGCAUGCAAGUGAGUUUUCUGGAGAUGGACCGCCAUUUUGCACGGCCUGCGAUGGGUGCACUCUGAGAUGCAGGAUCCUCAGAGACUUCAUCCCAGGAUUGCUUCCUGCUGCUGCUAUGCCUGUCCUGUCCCUGUGACAUCGCCUAAUGUCAGCAUUACAUAGCAUCAGCCCACCCUAUUAAGGAAAUUUCCUGCAGAUCAACUUGAAGACGAACCUUCAUAAAUUAAUGCUGUUUAGAUGAAAGACUACCAUGAGUUUGAGGCCAGCUAGGUUUACGGAGUGAGAUUCUGUCUCCUAGAGCCAAAAACAGGAGCUAGAGAGGUGGCUCCACAGUUAAGAGCACUUGCUGAAAAUCCUGGUUCAAUUCCCAGCUCCUUCACAGCAGCUCAGCACCCUCCAGAACUCUAGUUUCAGGGGAUCUUCUAGCCUCUGUGGGUGUGACUGGUUGCACAUGGUACACAGAAUGUAUGCAGACAAAGCUUUCAUAGGUAUACGUCACAUAAAAUCUUUUUAAAAAAGCCACCCCCAAGCAUAAACCAGGAGCUGACAGAUAGCUAAGCCAGUAAAACCAUCUCUCCAGCCCGACACAACCAUCUGUAAUGGGAUCGGAUGCCCUUUGACAGCUACAGUGUACUCAAAAAUAAAAUAAAUAAAUCUUAAAAAAAAAAAAA